rnacentral:lncRNA from 1 species
UUAAGGCUUCCUAAGCGAAAUGAAGAAAGGAAAAGAGAGCAAUCAGCUAGGAUAAGAAAGGGAAGAAAGAGCAUGAGCUGGUAGGGGAAGGGGAAGGGGAAGGGGAAAUUCGUGAAGGCUACGAAAAGUGUGACCAAGGACAGCACAAAAUUUGGGCUAUAAAAGCCCUAGCCGGCCCACUCCCAUGCUCACACUGUCGAAGCCCUCCCCUCUCCCUUUGUUGCUCUAAACCGGCCAAAACUCAUCCACCCAAAACCUAGCUCGGAUACAAUUGAUAAAAGCAUACAAUGAAUAAUUGCAUCAUAGGUAUUUCAAUAAUCCCUUUUAAUAAUUUAUGCAAAAGCAAUCAGCUAGUGUAUAAAUUGGAUGGAUAUUUGUGGCAGGGAAUUGUGUAGAUUAUUAAUGAUCAUGUUAUUCAGUAAUUAGAAAUAGAAUACAUGGUAAUUGAAUUGGAAGUUAGCUUAUAUGUUUAUGUGUGCAAAAUAGUUAGUUUUAAGGAGAUUAUCAAAGAUAACUAACUGAGAUGAAUUUGUUGGUAUUAUGUAUUGAAUUGAUUAUGGGUUUAGUUUUGAUAAUGAUUAUGUUAUGCUAGCAAGUUAUGGGAAUUGAAUAUGCAAAGAUUUGAAAUUGGUUUUCAAAAACAGUUAGUAUAUUGGAUUUUUGCAAAAAUAGUUGAUAUAAAGUGUAGACUGUGAUUGGGUAAUUUAAAAGCAGUUCAUGUAUGCUAUGUUUGUUUAUUAUCAUGUUAGUUAGUAAUGGAAAUAGAAAAUUUCAUGUUGGGUAUUGUAAUUAAAUUAUGAAAUCAAAGUUAGUAAACUAACUUGUUGAGUUAUAUAUGUUCUGCAUGGUUUAUUAUGUGAAUUGAAUUCUUGUGGACUGAAAUUAGAGCCAUGGAGAUUAGUGUGGUUGUGCGGAGUAAUAAGGUUGGCGAAAAUGGUUUGAAUACAUAGCCCCAACCCUUAGAAAUCAGUCCACAAUAAGUAUGCACGCGUUAUGUUCGAUAAAAUGCCAUAAUGAACUAAAUUGGCUAAAAACACAUAAUUUGAUGGAGCCGAAACCUAAGAUAGCUUCGUAUGAUCUAAACUAAGAUAAAAGAAGAGCCUUGUGGCGAUUAAACAAGCCGGAAUGCAUUUUUACAAGAAAUGAAAAGGUGAAAAGUUAGUGCGCACGAUCAUUUUUGGCACGCUAUUUGGACCACCUAUCGGGCCCGAAAUAAGUGACUAAUAUUUUCUAAAAAUAUUCUCAUAUACCAAAUAUGUCAUAUUCGAAAAUCAAUGCGAUCCGACGUGUGACCUAAAGGUUAGAAAAUCACAAAGUUGGUACGCAGGUAAGGGAUGGGCUGCUAUGGGCAGCCCAGCCAUGAAGGGCUGCCACCUGCACCCAUUUUGGCACCUCAUUUUUUCUUACUUAGAAUGUCCGAAAAGAAAGGCUAGUAUUUUUUAAAAAUAGGUGGACAUACCACCUAUAACAUAUCCAACAUUGGUAGAAAUCGAACAGACGAAAUGGAAACUAAAAAUAUGCAAAGUGGACGUCACAACACGUUCGCUCGCGGCCUACGCCAAGGCCGGUCGGGCCAAGCCAAGGGCAGCUAGGCCCAUUCUGACGCCGCAACGCGAAUAUGGAAACAAAAUGCAAUAUUUAAUGUCGUGACACGUGUUUCAAGGCGGCGACACAAAUUUUGAGGUUUUUAAACAGUUUAGCGUAUCCCGAGGCACCAACAUGAACAUAUAACGCAAUUUAAAAUCUAAAUAACGCGUAUAUAAGCAUACUAGAAGCUAUAAAAGCGAUAUGUAAACAUAAGUUUACAUAUAUAUAUAUAGAUAAUAUACCCGUGUUAUGGGAAUACGUGGACGUUAAUGAAAGUUGUUCCAAAACUAUAACUCGAAACUGAACAAUUCUUGAAACGCAAAGCGAGGCUUAUACAAACAGAGUUGGAAACUCAAUGUUUGACAUGAAUAAGCUCUGUAUAGGUAUAAGACAUAUAAAUAGCAUAUGUCUACCUACACGCUAUGCGAAUGAGGCAAGUUUUGCAUUACAACUGAGGCGUAUAUGCAAAAGCAUAUAUAUAUAUAUAUAUAUCUCAUGUAUGCAUAAAAUGUGGAAAGUACUGUGAUGUGAGUAUGUUAUGCAUCAUAAGAUACUGCAUACGCAUAAUGAAGUCUAAGUUACUCACGGAAGUUUAUUUGAGCUAUUAAUGUGCAAAGAAAGGCACAUAUGCACUAUAUAGCUAUAUAUGCAUAUUAAACCUAUAAAUGCAUUAUAGGGUGUAUAGACUGUAAAUGCUAUUUAUUGAUAUAUUAAAAACUAUGUUACAACUUUUUACAAGUUUAUGGCCGUAUUAAGCCGAAAUCUCUAAAAUUCUACAAAAAUGUGAAAGUUUUUCCAAAACAAAUACAGAAAAGUGUUGUUAUGAUAUAUAUGCAUGAUUAUAGCUAUACAAGCUAUGUGACGUGAAUAUAUGGUUAAUAUGUGCGUAUAUGUGUACAUAAUUAUGUAGGAUUCAAGACGUGAGGUUAAACUAGAAUUUAUAUCGGUAAAUCAACGAAAGAGACAAGUAUCUUAACUUUUGCAUUUACUUUAUGCAAUGGAUCUUUGUAAGCAAAUAUCCUAUCAAUAACUUUCUUAAUUUUGUACAAGCAAGUUCUUGAACUUUAUUCAAUCUAUUCAUUGAUUACAAGUAUCUCAAUAUUGUUCUCAUAUGAUUCAUAUAUAAUCAAAAUUAUUCUGUUAUUUGUGUAUUUAUUUUUGAUUUAGAAACUUAUUUAAUUUUUUGUAGCUUAGAUUAUUACUAGAUAGGUGAUCGUCUUUGCGCUUCAGUUUAUAAUUGCAUUACUAGAUUUUGCUGUUACGGAGAUUUGUUUUAGAAUUAGAAGCAUUCUAGUGAAGGAGUUCCAAAAUGUAACAUUUACUUCUAUACUUUUUUUUCUUAUACUUUUUUCCCCCCAGGUUCAGCAAGCCUUCUCAGACUUGGAGAGGUGAUUUACUGACUUACAUAUUUAGACUUCAAUCCAGUAUUUUUUUCGUUAUCUUUAACAUGUAUGUUUGAUGUAGCUAUAAUAAAAUGUUAACGAGACAUCAUUUUUCUUAAAUUCUGUUUUAUUGUACUUAUAGUUGCUGGGAGUUGUCGUUAGCACUCUAAAAUUAAUACCUUCUAUGCUACUAACACAAGAAUGAGUAUAGCAAUAAGUAGGAUCGAUCCCACAGAAUGUGUUUUUAUAUUUAUGCAAUUGUUUCUAAUAAAAAUGGGGAUUUUUGAGUUUAAUUAAUUAAACUAAUGAAAACAGAGAAUAAUUAAGAUGAAUAACCAAUGAAUAAAACAUUCUAGUUCUACAGUUCAGUAUCGCUUUUUCACAAUUAUGGAAUAAUCAUGUUAAACAAUAUUUUUCCUUCAAUGAAAUUAAUAACCCUAGAUAACCACAAUCGUUAAUUAUCCAAAAUUCUCCUUAAGUUGUAAAUCUAAGAUGACAAUCGUCCCAAUAGUCCUUAACUAUCAUACAACCUAGAACUAUCAGUCUAGAUUUAAUAUAACAGUAUCAAAACGAAUGAGAUUUAGGUUAUUUCAAGUAAUAAUCACACAAUCAGGAAUUAUUUAACUUGCCUUCUGAUAAUCUUAGUAAUACUCAAAAACUUGUCCACAAUGCAUCACUAAUUGUUACUUAUGAUCAUAUAUGAUAUCAUUUGCUUAAAAUUAUAUCUUAAUCUAGCAGAUGAUAUUAAUCAGAUUAAUCUAAUUGGCCAAAUCAAAACAAUCAGAUAGAAUAACAUGCAAUCAAUUAAAACAAAUUAUUAGAAUGAAUUUCAUAUAAGAAGGAAUAAAUAAAGUUAACUUGAUCAAAUCGUUAAUUAUGAAUAAUGUUCAACAUCCCUUAGAACUGAAACAGAAAGAUUAGCCUGACAUGCCUUUGAUCUUUCAAAACUAGGGUUUGAAUGUGAAUGUUGAUAGUCAUGUGUUCAAUCCCGAUUAUUACAAUGUAUUUAUACUACUAAACAAAGUCCUAAACUUAUAAGAAAUCGCAAUCCAAAUAAAUGUAGAAGUCUGUCAAAAUCUGCCUGCAAACUUUCCAAAAUUUCUUAGAUUUCUUGAUGAAUUCGUCGGGGCGAAUUCGUGUAUGCUGAAGAGCUUGCCGGGGCCAGUUCAUGUGUUUUCAGACAGAGAGGUAUUCGUUGGGGCGGAUUCGUUUGCCUUGCUGAGUUCGUCGUGGCGGAUUCAAGUGAAAAAGUGCAGAGACGAACUCGCCGGGGAGAGAUCGUGUAUGCCAAUGGAUUCGCCGGGGUGAAUUCGACUGUUUUCAACAUCUUUCUUUUUCAUCUAAUUAGCUCCAAUUCAUAUUUUUUUCAUUCUUUCAGCUCCAUUUCAACCUAAAAUUAAUAAGCUCCUUAUUAAACUCAUGUAUACCACAAAACAUGCAAUAAACUAAAUAUAAAGGAAUCAAAAUACAUGGAUAUUAUGCACUCAUCAGUUGCUCUUGUAACAUUACAACAAAAAAGGGUAAUUCUGACGAAAUUUUUCGUCGGAAAUAAGUUAUUUCUGUCGGAAUUACUCUCUUUCCGAAGGAAAUUUUUUGUCAAAAAUUCGAUCGGAUAUAUACCGUCCGGAAUUUAAUUCGUUGAAAUUUCGGUCGGAAAUAAAAAAAGUCCGUUAGAAUAAAGACUGACCAAUUUUUUGUCGAAAGUAUAUUAUUUUCGAUGAACUUAUCAAGUCAAAAAUAUUCAGUCGAAAUUACUGCUGCCACGUGGCAUUGUUUGAAGCACUUAAAUGAGUUUAUUCCGGACAGAAUUUCCGUUGGAAUUAACCAAGUUCCGUCGAAAAUAGGAAAUUUUAAAUUGAUAUUUAAUUGCUUUAUCUCGACGGAAUUUCCGUCGGAAAUAACAAAAAAAAAUUAUUUUUUUUUUGUUUUUGCAGUUUCUAAGUUUUUAAACCCCAUUUUUGUAUGUGUAAACCUGCUUUAUCCCAACAAUACAUACAGUAAUCUAUGUUGACAUACAACGUAACUAUGACAACCUGCUUUAUCCCAACAACAUGUACAUACAGUAAUCUAUAUCUUUUGUUCACAAACAACGUUACUAUUGUAUGUAACUAUAACAAGUGCAUAUGAAUUACCUCAACAACAAUAACAAAUAUAAACUAAUUUUCCAUAAGUUAUACAAAAAAUUGUUUAAACUACAAUGAUUUACAUCCAAUUAAGCUAAACUAUAGUACAUAUGAAUACAUUAUGUACAUAUGAAUACAUUAUGUACAAAUGAUCUACAAAACUAAUUGAAACUAGUACUACUCCUGGUGUGAGGAGGAUCAUCGGGCAGGGGUCGACGGUGCUGUUCUGGUGUAUGAAAAUCAUUGUCGUCAUCCUUCCGCUCGCGAUCGACAUCGCCACCCUGUUGUUACAAUAAAAAAUAUAACACAUUGGUCCGUAAUUGAAAAUUAAAAUCGCAGCUAAAUGAUAGUAAAACAACAUGCAGAAUAUACAACUUAAAAUGAAUAAAAUACCCGAGUAUCGAGGGUUCACUCAGCAUCGCGCCAAAAGCCUCCAACAGUAGGGUAACUAUCAUCCAGACCACCUCGUCGUGUAUUAUAACGAACUGCUCUGGAGGGAUACCCGUACUCUCAACGGUGGCCCCUACUGCAAUAUCCUGAGCUAACUGGUGAAGACGAGCACGACUAGACAACUCCUGACGACGGAAUAUCGGAUCUGUACCAAACGUCUUCGACAUCGCCGCCAUGACUCUCUGGAAUAGAUCGUCAUCCAAGCCAGCCCCUAUAUGAGAUGGUUAGAGCCUGUAGAAAUAAAUAUAACAUUAAUAAUUUAAUAAUAAUCUAUAUCGCGAUAUAAAUUAUGAAAAAACGAGAAAUAUACUAAAACAUAAUACAUUUAGAAAGUGUAUAUGUUGGUAUCCUCGACAGCCCCAACACUCGAUAUCUGCUGGUAGUGCUAUUGGGAAAUCUUGAGACGCGACCCAAAGAGUCAUCUUCUCAUCAUGAGAUAAACUAAUCUCGGACGGAGGGAUGGAGGAAUCUAACGUCUUGGAAUCGUCCCUAGCAUUCUGUAACUCUUAACUAUAGGAUGGUCUCAGAGCUUCUGAAACUGAUACUGUAAUUUAUUAUGUAUAUGUGAGUCAAUUAAAUCAUUUUUUUAAUUACAUAAUAUUAGUAAUUAACAAUUAUUAUAACUAGCUGUAUUACCCGUAUAACUAAUGCUGCGGGAGACAUCGUCGAGUCCUUCGGCGUGUGGGCUCUAUCUCCAAACUCGACCAUAGUGGGAGGUCGGCCUAAGCUCGCCCGCAUAACCUAAUAAAUACAUUAAUAUAACAUUUAUUUAGUAUAGAUCCCAACAAUAUUAAACUAAACAACUCAGUAUAAAUACACAUCGACUUAACCUCCUCAAAUGUUUGUGAGCCAGUAGUAUGUAUGAUUCGGAGCUGACGACAAUUCUUCUUCAUCUGCUCGCAUGGCCUCCCAUGCAACAUUUGAGACUAUCCAACACUGAUGAUCUCGUAUUGUAGUACCGGGUUGGUCUACAACUGCCUGGGUGACCCUCUGUACGUACACAUGAUCUCGUAUAUGCUCACAAGCAUCGAUCUUCUUAUAUCCCAGAUUCAACCCCUUUACCAUCUUAUUCACUUCAUAGUAAUUAACUAAUUCGUGAGCAGAGUAUGAUCCUCAAGUAAGAACUUGCCGAUAAAAGCAAGCAAAUCAUUGAAACCUCUCUCACUGCAGUCAUGCUCAUUCUUGAAGUAUAAGAGUUUCGUCAUUGCAGAUAGUCUGGUGUGCUUAACAUUUCCAGGAUACAAUGGGACCCUUGAUUCAGAUAACAUUUUUGUAAAAGGCAACAACUGUAUCAUUUGGUUGUUGUUGAGCACUGUUUGACGGAUGCUCGUUUUCACCCAGUCAAUAUUGUUAGGGCCAUAAGCAUCGGCCAACAUCUCUAAGGCAUCAUAGUUGUCUGCGUAUAAAUCCCCAGGUUGGUCUACACUGUCGGUCAGUUCUCUCAACUCAGUUGAUUCCUUGUGAUGAAUCUAUACGGAAUACCCAUUCACAAACCCACGUGAAAAUAAGUCGAUUUAAUUUCGUCGGCUUUCUUCCUUAUCCAGGUUUUUACACUUGAGACAGGAAUCUCAUCACCAUGUUCUAUUGGUUUGUUCAAAAAAUUGCACACCCCAUCACGGUACACAUUAAAUAAUCCCUUCCCAUCAAACGAUAUUCUAUGGUACAUCCAACUUUGAUCGGCUGACAUCUUUAAUUGAACAAAAGACACAAUUAGAAUAGGGAUAUUCAUGUAUGUGGUCCAUGCAUGAAUUCUAUAUACCAGUAUCUCCACUCUACAGGGGUUAUGACUUCUAUCUCAUUCCUGGAUGCGUCUUUUCACCAGUGCCAACACCUUGAGCUAGCACGUUUCUUCUGUUUCAAGAAAAUUUUGUCAGCACCUCUCUAUGGUCUCCAAGUACACGAAAUAAACUAAGAUAACUUAAUCUAAGUAUGCACUCGAAGAAUAUAUACUAGUCAAAAAAUCCUAAAAAAAAAUGUAUCGAGGUUUUGACACCGGCCUAGUGAGAGACAUAACAUGCAUUAACAGUCUUAGACUGGGGACUAUUCGACAUUCACUCCUAAUGAGUGAAUGUUAAACGGGUUUUUAAGCUCCAAACUAUACUACUAUACUACAUGCACAUGUAUUCAGUUUAUUUUAGUUGUGAAAAACUAAACAAAUACAACUUAGUUUAUUUUACCAAUAGGAAACUAAGUAAAUGUUACUCAGUUUAUGAGAAAAUGCUACUAAGUAAAUGCUAGUCGGCAUUUUAAUUGUGGAAAACUAAGCAAAUGCUACUUAGUUUAUUUUACUAAUGGAAAACUAAAUAAAUGCUACUCAAUUUAUGAGAAAAUGUUACCAAGUAAAUGUUACUCAAUAAAUGCUAGUCAAAUUUUAAUUGUGGAAAAGUAAGCAAAUGCUACUUAGUUUAUUUUACCAAUGGAAAAAUAAGCAAAUGCUACUCAGUUUAGUAAAUGCUACUACGUUAACUAAGUUUAUUUUAUAGUUUAUUUUUACUUUAUUUUUUGUAGCAGUGGAACUAAGUAAAUGCUACUUAGUUGAUUAUAUUAUAUUAUUUCCAAUGAUUUAAUUAAUUUAAUAUACUGUAAUUUAAUUUAAUUUCUUUUAAUUUAAUUUAAUUUAUCUAAUUACUUUAUUUUAUUUCAUUUCAUUUUAUUUUGUUUAUUUGUAUUAUAUUAUAUUAGAAUAUUUAAUUUAAUUUAAUUGAUUUAUGUUAAUUAAUUAAUUUCAUUUCAUUUCAUUUUAUUUAUUUUGUCUUAUAUUAUAUUAUAUUAAAUUAAAUUAAAUUAAUUUAUUUUUAAUUUAUUAUAUUAUUUAAUUUAAUUUAGUGAAAUUAAGUUAAUUUAUUUUUUAAAAUUUAUUUUAUUUUAUUUAUAUCUUAUUAAAUUAAAUUUAUUUAUUUUGUACUAUAUUGUAUUAUAUCAUAUUAUUAUUUUUAUUUAGUAGUGCAAAACUAAGUAAAUGCUAGUUAGUUCAUUUCAUUUAGUUUAUUAGUAGGUAGGAAACUAAGUAAGUAAAUGCUACUUGGUUUUUUUUAGUAUUUGGAAACUAAGUGUAAUACAUUAAUAAAAUAAAGAAGUGUCCACAUAUGUUGCAAUUGUAGAAUUUUGGCAGAAAUUCUGUCGCCAGAAAUAACAAAUAUGACGAUAUGAAGACAUUAGACAGUCCAUAUAUACAACAAGAAUAAGGAAAGACGAAGACAAAAAAAUGCAAGAAAUUGGGUUGGAAAUUUCAUCUGGAAAAACCCUACCACACCCACAAUACCAAUACCAAUACCAAUACCAAUCAAUUAACAAAUCCGAUUUACAACCAACAAGUAUAUAUAAUUCAACAAUACAAUUCAACUAGUGUAUUAACUAAAAUCUGAAAAUAGGCAGUAACAUGAACAAGCUUGAUCUCCAAACAUUCAAAUUAUUAGGGCUGAUCAUUCGGUUAUAACCGAACCGAAUAGCCUAUUCGGUUAUAAUCGAAAACCGAAAUUUGUACAAUUUUAAUAUCCGAACAAGUAACCGAAUUACCUAAUAACCGAAUUACCGAAUAACCGAAUAGUAAAUUCGGUUAUUCGGGUAAUAACCGAAAUUAAGAACUGAGUAUUCUGAGAAAUCAAGAUCGAGAACAAAUUUGAGAUCAUGGUUCUAGAGAUCGAUUUGGUGAAAGAAAAUGAGAGAUAAGAGUAGACUGUCGAUUUGGUGAGAGCAUACAGAUCUGGAGAAUAUUCUAAGAGCAUACUGUCGAUUUUGUAAUAAUAUAGAAGAUCUCCAGAUCUGGAGAAGUUUACCACUACAGAUUUUGUAAUAAUAGAGAAGAUGAAAGAUGUUUACCGCCACUGAUUUUGUAAUAAUAGAGAAGAUGAGAUCGAGAUGUUUACCACCACAGAUCUGUGGAAUAUUAGAGAAAAUGAGAGAUCAGAGAUGUUUACCGCCACAGCCCACAGAUCCGGAGAAGAAACUAGAAAGGCAGAGGAAUAUUAGAGAAGCUGACUAGCUAGAUGAGAGAAGUUUAUUUUUUUUCCAAAUUACUUUACAUUGUCUUCUUAUUGGACUUGGUGGCUUGGUGCCUAAUAUUACAAGACUAACACUAAAUGCAAAACUGACAAACAGUGGCCGGGCAAUAACAAAGCAGACAGGUAGACUAAUUGACUAAAUAUCUAUGAAUAAACAACAAAUACGGUAGAUUUUUUUUAUUUCGGUUAUUCGGUUUAACCGAAUAACUAAUAAUCAAAACCAAACCCGAACCCGAAAAAUGAAAAUAAAUUCGGAUAUAACCGAAUUAUAAAAAAUAACCGAAUAAUUGAAAUAAUUCGGUUAAAAAAAUUCGGUUUAGUUCAGUUAUUCGGUUUUAUCCGUUUUUUGCUCAGUCCUACAAAUUAUACUAACAUGAACACCUAACGAAUUCUCUGACAGAUUCACUAACAUGAACACCUAACAGAUUCAAAUUACUAACAAUAACAUGAGCAAGCUCCAAAGCAUAUACAAUGAAGUGUGUUAUCAAAACUCAAAACAAAACAAUUGAAAAAAUUCCUUCAAUCUGCUGCUCAGGUCCCAACAAAACUCAUGCAAAUACAAAAUUUAUUGCUAAUUGUUUGUUUAUUUGGUUAACUCCUAAUAACAGUAGGUGCCUUUAUACAUUCUAAACAAUAUAGCAAUGAAUAAUUUUUCAAUUGAGGGCUUAAAAAAAUUAGGAUUUCUUAACUCUAACUACAAAAACAAGUAACACCUAUUCUUUAAAUUGAAGGUAACAAUGGAGGAAGAAGAACGCAAUAGCCAGAGGCUAGGAACAGUCGCCCCCGCGCACCACUAAUCUGGAGUAGAUAUGAAAAUCGCAUGGUUUAUCUAUGGAGAAAAAUUGGGAGUUAAAGCUAGAUUAAGGCAUAAAAAUAGAUGAAAAGAGGAGAUGAGAAGAUAUAAUUAGGGCUUAAAUGAUUGUAAGAGGUUGAGGAGAUGAAUAGUUGCCGCCGCUGAGAGUGCUGAGAAAAGAGGAAGGAAAGAAUGAAAAAAAUAGUGUUGUUCGCUCAAUUAAAAGAAUUUUAUUUUUUUGAUGAAAUUCCAUCAGAAUUCAUUCCGUCGAUUUUAAUUUAUUUUCGACUGACUUUUUUGUCAACCUUGACAUAAAUUCCGUCGAAUUUAGUACGCAUGCUGGCGGGAAAACUUCGUGACAAGGACUGUGCCUAAUUCCGACGGAAUUCCAUCGAGCAUAGCUUAAAUCAAAUAGAAUUAGGUUCGACGGAAUAUUCCGUCAAAAAUAUACUAAUUCCGAGUGAAUAAAUUUCGUCAGACAUAAUUCGAAUUAGUCUUUUUCCUUGUAGUGUAAGCAUCUCAUGACUUUUAAAUUUGUAUUAAGACAAAUUUAGCGACUAUUGUGCGAGUAUUAUGCAUGACCAUGUUGUAUGUUGACCUGAAUACAUCUGUAUUACUCCAUGCGUACCACAAAAAAGAGACCCCUUUUUCAAAAUUUGCGAAUAGUAAAGAUACAUUUUUGUGUACUAAAAAUAAUAAGUUGUUAGUUUAGUAGUGUGGUAUGAAAAUGAAAUUAUGAUAUCAAACUUGAGGACAUUGUGUCAUUUUUUACUUCUAUAACUAAAGUGGACUCUUUCUGUCGGGGAAAAAAUAAGACAAAUUCGACUCUUUUUGUAAAAUGGAGAGAGGACUGUUAUGAGGGAGCUUCCGUAUUUAUCUGAUUUCUAUUUUACUUGGUAAAGCAUGGAUUGAGAGAAAUUUACUUUUGUCUUUUCAAUUAAUUCACCUUAACGAAUCAUCUCAGUUUUUAUAGGUUAUACUGUGACUUUAGAGUUUUAAUGGCUGUUCGCAUAUCAUUGGUAAUUCUAAUGUAUAAAUUCAUAAGCAUUCAUGAGACAUGCAUUUAAAUAUGUGAUAUACAGGGCAUUUAUUGCUUGAUCUAGUAUCAUUAGUUUAACUCUUUGGGUCUCUAAACAAUUCAUUGUCUACCAGUCAUUAUAUACACUCAUUAAAUCUUAUCUAACCCAUCUUGUUUAUUUGUUUUUACUAAUAGGGAUUGUGGAUUUCUUGUUCCUGAUGAUGUUUAUCAAGUAAGAAGCCUCUCCCUUCCGAAUGUUUAUGGGAUACAGUUACUUUUUUUAAUUGAUAAUAUGCAUGCUUGUUAAGACCGUAAUCUUUUGAGUACACUAACUCCCCCUUUCUUUAAUUUUACUUGUCAACCGAAUAGGUGAAAACUUGUAGAUACCAUAUUUUUAUCCCCAUGAAAGUGAUUGAAAUAUUUCAAUCUGAUAUGCAUGUAAUAAUAUUAAUGUUCGAGUGUGUGUAUAUGUAUUUGUUAAUUUCGUUUCCCUACCACACAUGGUGUAGGCAUAAAAAGACUUUUUAUAUUUCUUCCUUGUACGUAUCUUUAUCUCUAUUCCUUUUAACUGUUUCAUAAUGGUUAUAGGCAUUGCUGAAAAUUGGCUUCUCAAAAUCAUAUACGGUAUCUUGUUUUGGAGAAGAGUUAAAAAGAGAUGAUUGUGUAAAACAGGAAUUGACGUCGAUCUCGUAAUGAGUAUUUAAUCAGGAUAGGUUCUGUUGUGAAUCAAAAUACUGAAAAGUGAAAACAAACAUGCAAAUAAUCAUUUUCCUUUCUUUAGUCUACCUAGCUAGCUAGGUAGCAAAUGUAAAUUUGGUGUGAACCAAACUGGGGCAGACCGCAGUGGAAGCUUGAAACUUGGCAGAUACCGUUUAAUUGUCCCAUCUUCUAGGUUGAACACUCCGGCUUCACGUGAGACUUCCAGAGAAUUUUCAGGAUCAGGGCAAAAAGGGACUAGCAAAAUAAAUGCAAUUUUCUUUUUGGAACAAAUUUUCGAGUUGGAAUGAAAAGAGAGCUAUAGUCUGAGUGAAAUAGCACUUGGUCACCCAAACUCGUUAACUUAUGUAUCAUCAUCUCCAUGCUGUGGAUAUCAACCUUGAAUAUUUCAAAUCCCGUAGUUUGAUAAUAUUCAAUACCAUAAUUGUCAUCUUCAUCUUCUUCCUUAAAGAAAUCUAUGUUUUUUCGAGCUAUCAACAACUCUCCUUGGGCCGACUCUAACAAGGAAAAGAUUGAAGCAAUGUGCUUGGCAAUCACAAAUCCUCCUGGAUGGAUUUCGUAGCAAGGGAGCUUAUACGGAUUGAAAACAUGUUUGAUUGAUUUCAUCACCACUUGGCAGUUAUUUGUUAAAACGAUAGUGUGAGUCUCUACAUCACUACUAUCUCUCUCCUCCAACAAGGAAUCAUCAUCAUCUACCUCCAAAUCUACAGCGUAUAGUAAGUUGUUACUGAAUAAUAUAUCAUUGUAAAGUAUACCAUCAAUGUUUUCUUUGAAGAUGAUCCAUCUUGUGUCGCCAAGUGUGCAGAAUGCUAAAGCUCUUUGGUAAUUGCACAGUAUUGCUACUAUAUGUUGUUCUGCACUACUAUUCACAAAUAAUAUGUCAAUCCGGUUGAUAAAAAAGGAGACUUCUUGUUUCUGACUCAGAAAUUCUUGGAAACAUGGGAUUGUAGUCAAAGGAGGAAGUUCGAGUAGAGCUCUAGAAAGCGGAUUCCAUAGAAAAAACUGAGGGUUGAAAUCUGAUUCGGUGAUAAUUGCCAGCCAACCUCUGAUACAUCCGCAGCAAUGCCCUCCUCCCAGAGCUUUCUUAGGCAAUUCAAGAUUAUAGAAUCUGUCUUCAGACAUGCUAUAGAAACUAAACAACCGCCGGUUAUCUAUUGUUGAUGCUGCUGCAGGCCCUUCGCCACGAGGAAAGAGUAGCCACGGAAUAUCCGGAGUUGCCCCAGCCCCACCGUUAAUCAUCAAGUUUUUGUUAUCCAUAAGAAGGGGAGCUCUCCAAGACUUGCAGACUCUGUUCAUGCGGAUGUGAUCGGUUAGGCUCAAGCGCAUGACGAUGGUUUCCAUGAUAUCUCCCGGUAGUCGAUGCUCCCAAAAAUUGCUCAUGACUUGAUCAUCUGUAGCCAUAGCCGUAUUCUUCAUCUUCUCUUUGGUCAGUGGUGGUGGUGGUUGCAUGUGAAUUGGACUAUUAACUGAGUUGAUGAGAGCAGAAGAGUGGGAGGAGGAGGACCAAUGAUGAACAAGUGAAAGGAACUCCCUUGCCAUGUUUGUGCAAGCAUGGAACAUUGAUUCCAUCAUUAUUUGCAUGCAAUAUUGAUCCUCCUAUCACUUGGUUGAAUAUAUAGGAGAGAAAUUAUAUAAGCUUCCAAAAGAAAUCAGAUUACUAUUCGGAUUUUGAAUCUUCUUUAUGAAUUCCUAACCAAACCCGGGUCCAAUCUUUUAUGAAACUCUCUCUAUGCAGUAAGAUCAACGUCAAAAGGAGCUAUAUAUGAUACAAGCGGAAUCCAUGUACCAAUCUGUAAGGCUGCCACUGUCUCUAACAGAUAAGAGAUCACCUUGUGAAGUUUCAUUUUCUGUUACUGUGAAUAGCUCUCUGUCACUGCACGCAUCUGCUUGCUCAGCAACAUUAGCAGAAUUUUCAAUCUGUUUACCUUUCUUCUUGUUAUCUUUCUUCAACAAUGGACAUUGAUUUUUGCAGUGGCCCUUCUCGUGGCAAUGAUAACACUCAAUCUGAGAUUUAUCCUUCUUGUCUGGUCUCGCCUGAGACCUUUCUCGUUCCUUGCCGGAAUACUUCUUUCGAUUAGGACCCCUGCCACGCCCAUCUGAAAAAACAAGAAGAUUGUCUCCUUUCUCUGGAAGUAGUGCCCUUGAACUUAUCCUGGUCCAGGACUGCAUACAUCACAUCGUCAACUGCAAGUUUUUCCUUCCCCACAAAGAGUGUAGUAUGGAGAGUUGAGUAUGAAUCUGGUAGAGAGACAAGAAGCAAUAAGGCUUUAUCUUCUUCGUCCAACUUCACAUCAAUACUGGUUAGUUGGGUCACCAAUCUAUUAAACUCAUUAAUAUAAUUGGUCAAAUCUGACCCUUCUUCCAUCCAAAGCCGGUACAAUUCCUUCUUCAAAUAUAACCGGUUUGACAGAGACUUUGACUUGUAAACUUUCUCAAGUUUCUCCCACAAGUCCUUCGAAGUGGUUUCUGUCAAAACUUGAUAUUUGAUUUGUGGUGCCAAGCUCAAUCUAAUUGUUGUCACGGUUCGUAUUAGAACAUAGGGAUAUAAUCUCUGGUGGAGAUCUGGGAUUUAGAACUACGAGGGGAGAGACGAGUAAAAUCCUUCGCUAGUGUGUCCUACCUAAAUUUUUUCGUUAUUUAAUUAGUCGGUCGGGAUAUAGGGUAAGAUGUGUUAUUUCAGUUUGUUUAAAAUAAUCUUUGUUUUGUGAUCAUAUUUUAGAAUGACAUGUGAAAAUAAAGAGAUGAACUAUGAGACAAUUGUGGUUGAGAAUCAGGAAGCUACAAAUAAUACUAUUGCAAACUCAGAAAUUCAUUAUGCUAACAACAUUAUGAAUGAUGAGUUUUUUUGAAACUUCAAGAAAUUUUUGCAGAAAUAGGCGAAAGAAACUAUUUCUCAUAAUACCGGUAGAAACGCAGGUAACUCAUGAAUGGUCACUACUAAGCAGAUCAAGAAGUUAGGACCACUUGAGUUUCUCAGAAAGGCAGACCCACUUAAGGCGGAGACGUGGCUCAAAUACAUGACAAAGAUAUUUGAUGUACUGCGUUGCGCUGAUGAUCAAAAGGUUCCCUUUGCUACUUUCAUGUUACGAGGAGAGGGAGACCACUAGUGGGAAUCAGUGAAGCGUACACAUCAUUCAACACCUGAAAUGUCUUGGAUAGAGUUUCAAGAGCUAUUUAAUGAAAAGUAUUUUUCGAAUAGCAUUCAUCAGAUGAAAGAAGUAAAAUUUAUUAAGUUGGAACAUAAUAAUAUGACCGUCUCUCAAUACGAGGCCAAAUUUGCCGAUUUAUCCCGAUUUGCACGUCACUUGGUAGAUAAUGAAGAACGCAUGACCCGAAUGUUCUUACGAGGUUUGAAAUUUAAGAUUCGUCAACAUCAUAUUUCUCAUAAACUUCGUUUAUAUUCAGAUAUCGUGGAUAGGGCUCAAUUGGUGGAAUUAGUGAAAGAGACAUUGUAACCAAGAGACAACAACCGCUGACACGAUAAUAAUCGUACCAGUGGCAACAAUUAUCGAAACAAUGAGAACCGGUGUGGAGGAAAUCAUCAUGCCAGAAAUAGUAACCACUUCGGUGGGAAUCCUGGCCCAGAUAAUAGAAAAAGUGAGUCGAGUGGAAAAAACUCAAAGAGGAGAAGAUUCAACAAUGACUAACAAUAACAUGAGCAAACUCCAAAGCAUACAAUGAAGUGUGUUAUCAAAACUCAAAACAAAACAAUUGAAAAAUUCCUUCAAUCUGUUGUUCAGGUCCCAACAAAACUCAUGCAACUACAAAAUUUAUUGCUAAUUGUUUGUUUAUUUGGUUAACUCCUCAUAACAGUAGGUGCCUUUAUACAUUCUAAACAAUAUAGCAAUGAAUAAUUUUUCAUUUGAGGGCUUAAAAAAAUUAGGAUUUCUUAAACUACAAAAACAAUUAACACCUGACAUUUAAAUUGAAGGUAACAAUGGAGGAAGAAGAACACAAUAGCUAGAGGCUAGGAACAGUCAUCGCGGCGCACCACUAAUCUGUAGUAGAUAUGAAAAUCUUAGGGUUUAUCUAUGGAGAAAAAUUGGGAGUUUAAAGCUAAAUUAAAGCAUAAAAAUAGAUGAAAAGAGGAGAUGAGAAGAUAUAAUUAAGGCUUAAAUGACUGUCGGAGGUUGAGGAGAUGAACAGUUGCCGCCGCUGAGAGUGCUGAGAAAAGAGGAAGGAAAGAAUGAAAAGAAUAGGGUUGUUGGUUCGCUCAAUUAAAAGAAAGUUUUAUUUUUGAUGAAAUUCCAUCAGAAUUCAUUCUGUCGAUUUUAAUUUAUUUUCAACUAACUUUUUUUGUCUACCUUAACAUAAAUUCUGUCGAAUUUAGUACGUGUGCUGGCGGGAACACUUCGUUCCAAGGACUGUGCCUAAUUUCGAAGAAAUUCCAUCGAGCAUAGCCUAAAUCCGAUAGAAUUAGGUUUGACGGAAUAUACUAAUUCCGAGGGAAUAAAUUUCGUCGGACAUAAUUCCGUCGGAAUUAGUCCUUUUCUUGUAGUGUAAGCAUCUCAUGACUUUGAAAAUUGUAUUAGACAAAUUUAGCGACUAUUGUGCGAGUAUUAUUUAUGACCAUGGUGUAUGUUGACCUGAAUACAUCUGUGACGCCCCAAAAUAGGUAUACACAACCCAUUCUGAGUCGCCAAAUACAUGAUACAUAAUUCAAAUACAAACUUAAUUAUACAACAGUCGUGUAAAAUACAACAAAAUAUAAGCUGAGAGUUUUAACACGAAUAUUGUCUCGUAGACAAUAUCCAAACUCAAAUGGAGUCCUCAUUACAAUUAUUAUCACAUUAUUUUAUAAAAUAGUGAUGACUACUACAUCCACCAUCUCGGGCCGUCACUCCAAUCCCCGACUAGUCACAACUAUGUUCUCAUUUCCUGAAGAGAACAAUGAAAGUAAAGGGUGAGCUCAACUAGCCCAGUAAAGAAUAUUGUGACUAAGAUAAUGUAGAAUAAAUUAUCGUUAGCCUUCAACAGUGUAAAACUGAUAGAAUAUAAUAGACAACAAGUUUACCUGUAGCGGAACAAGCAAUCCAUUAGAAGAGUCAAGUAGAGCAUCAUAUCUACUAUUUUCUAUGAUUUAAAAGUUCAUCAUCAAUAUUUUAUCCCUGCAAUACAAUUCAAUAAAUAAUCCAAAUCACCGAAUUAUCCAUGCACUACGGGCCAAAGAUAUUCGUUAGUAUCACAUCCAUGAAUUAUCCAUGCACUACGGGCCAAUGAUAUUCAUUAUUAUUACAUCAACGAAUUAUCUAUGCACUACGGACCAAGUAUAUUCGUUAUUAUCAUCAGUGGUCAUAAUCAUGCCAACAAAUGUCCAUCAAUGCACUACGGACCAAUGAGGACUUUUACCACAUCAUUUGUAACAUUACAGGUCAUGAUUAUACCGAUACAUAAUUCAUGGUCAUAAUCAUACUAAUCAACAGUCCAUCUAUGCACUACGGGCCAAAGAUGACUUUCAUUACAAUAUAAGAAUGCUCUAACUGAGCUUCUCUCUCUAACUCUCUUUGCUUUGCUAAGCUUCUUGUUGUUGUGGUGUGUUGAAAUGAGGAGUCCAAGCUCCCUUUUAUAGGAGAAAUCUGGAGAGGAGAACAAAAAAUGGGAAAAGGCCAAAAUCAAAGGUCCGGACUUAAGACCAAAUGGAAGGCAAUGACUUAAGACUAAAUGGAAGGCAAUGACUUUUUCCAACAGAUUACCAAUUCACCAUGGUUAGAUUUUCGACUUGCACCGAAUUUCAUCCCACCCCCAUACAUGCGCAGUACCCGAGUGGAUAUUCCAUGAAAGGGAUUAUGUUUGGGAAGAAAAACAAACCGAAAAGGAACAAACAAAAUGCAAACCAUAACCUUCGCCAGGACGAGAAAAUCAGUUUGGCCGCUGCAUGCAUUGAUGGGGGCGGUGAUAGUGCUUACUGCACUUGUCACCGUCGUCCGAUCUUUCAUGUAAAGGAAGCGUUGCUUCCUUGUUAAGUUAUUUUUUGGUUUUCCUCUUCUUUUUCAUCGUCACCUCUCACUGACGGUAAGAAUGAUUUCCUUCUUUUUGGGUACGAAUCCGUGGGUUUUCUUGAUAAUAAUUGUUAAUAUUUGAUUUAAUCAACUUGUUUCUACGUGUUCUACUUAUAGUGAUUCACUAAAUGUGCAUUUGGUUGCUGCUUCUGAUAAUGAAACACGUAGUGAAUGUGAAUGAUUUCUAGUAAUUUCAGUGCCAGUAGUUAUUAUGUUGUUCGACUUCAAUUUUUAAUCCAAUGAGCACUUCUCACUCUGCUGAAAUUGAAGCCAGGCAACAUAAGGAGUACUGACACUGGAAUUACUAGAAAUAAUUCACCUUCAGUACGUGUUUCAUUAUCAGAAGCAGCAACCAAAUGCACAUUUAGUGAAUCACUAUAAGUAGAACAUGUAGAAACAAGUUGAUUAAAUCAAAUAUUAACAAUUAUUAUCAAGAAUACCCACUUAUUCGUACCCAAAAAGAAGGAAAUCAUUCUUACCGUCAGUGAGAGGUGAUGAUGAAAAAGAAGAGGAAAACCAAGAAAUAACUUAACAAGGAAGCAACGCUUCCUUUACAUGAAAGAUCGGACGACGGUGACAAGUGCGGUAAGCACUAUCACCGCCCCCAUCAAUGCAUACCACGACCAGACUGAUUUUCUCGUUCUGGCGAAGGCUACGGUUUGCAUUGCGUUUGUUCCUUUUCGGUUUGUUUUUCUUCCCAAACAUAAUCCCUUUCUUGGAAUAUCCACUCGGGUACUGCGCAUGUGUGGGGGUGGGAUGAAAUUUGGUGCAAGUCGAAAAUCUAACCAUGAUGAAUUGGUAAUCUGUUGGAAAAAGUCAUUGCCUUCCAUUUAUUAUUAUUUUAUAUCUCUUACAGUAGUGCGUUUGUAUUUAUCUUAGUGUAUUUGUGUGAGCCUGAUUUCUCAACAAUUGGUGUCAAUGCUUUUGGUUCACACCGUUGGUUUCUAGGAAAGUGGUUCAAAAGGCAGCGCCGUUAAGAAAGGUGGUUAUUUAAUUAGUCACCGGUUCAAAAGCUCGGAGAGACUCCCACCCGACUUACACUUACCUGGCCAACUGGUACGAUCCGUUUAAAGAGAAAUUAGGCAGGUCACAAAUACGAAGAUGACAAACACAAGUGCGAGGUAUGAAGUUGAACCAUUUGACGGUAAGUCAAAUUUCAGUAUUUGGCAGUGUACAGUCAAAGAUGUAUUAGCUCAACAGGGAUUGACGAAGGCAUUAGAAGGGAAGAAACCAACGACUAUGACAGAUGAAAAAUGGAUGGAACUUGAAGCCAAGGCCGUGACAACAAUCAGAUUGAGUUUGGCACCACUAAUCGAAUAUCAGGUUUUGACAGAAACCUCUUCGAAGGAUUUGUGGGAGAAACUUGAGAAAGUUUACAAUUUAAAGUCUCUGUCAAACCGGUUAUAUUUGAAGAAGGAAUUGUACCGGCUUUGGAUGGAAGAAGGGUCAAAUUUGACCAAUCAUAUUAAUGAGUUUAAUAGAUUGGUGACCCAACUGACCAGUAUUGAUGUGAAGUUGGACGAAGAAGAUAAAGCCUUAUUGCUUCUUGUCUCUCUACCAGAUUCAUACUCAACUAUCCAGACUACAUUCUUUGUAGGGAAGGAAAAACUUGCAGUUGACAAUGUGAUGUCAGCAGUCCUAGACAAGGAUAAGUUCAGGGGCACUACUAUCAGAGAUCAAGGAGACAAUCUUCUUGUUUUUUCAGAUGGGCAUGGCAGGGGACCUAAUCGAAAGAAGUAUUCCGGCAAGGAACGGGAAAGGUCUCAGGCGAGACCAGACAAGAAGGAUAAAUCUCAGGUUGAGUUAUCAUUGCCACGAGAAGGGCCACUGCAAAAAUCAGUGUCCAUUGUUGAAGAAGGAUAACAAGAAGAAAGGUAAGCAGAUUGAAUUUUUUUUCAAAUGUUGCUGAGCAAGCAGAUGUGUGCAGCGACGGAGAGCUGUACACAGUAACAGAAAAUGAAGCUUUACAAGGUGAUCUCGUGGCAGCCUUACAAAUUGGUACAUGGAUUUCGGUUGUUCUUUUCAUAUGUCCACUCACAGGAAUUGGUUUGAUACUUUUACAUUCUAUAAUGGUGGUUCAGUUUUAUUGGGUAACAAUGCAGUCUGCAAAGUUACUGGGAUAGGCACCAUCAAAAUUAAAAUGUUUGACGGGGUUGUCAGAACAUUGGGUGAUGCAAGGUAUAUUACAGAAUUGAAGAAGAGCUUGCUAUCGGUUGGAGUACUCGACUCUAUAGGUUGCAGUAUCUCACUCAGAGAUGGUGUCAUGAAAAUUACCAAGUGUUCGAUGGUAAUUAUGAAGGGCCAAAAGAAGGGCACCCUCUACAAGUUGAUAGGGGACACAGUUGCUGGUGGAGUACCAAUUUCCGUGCAGGAUAAUUCCAACAGUGAUAACACAGAAUUAUGGCACAUGCGACUUUGUCAUUUGAGUGAAGGUGGAAUGAAAGAACUUCACAAAAGGCAGUUACUGAAAGGUGUCAAAACGUGCAGUUUGGAAUUUUGCAAGUUUUGCGUGUAUGGCAAACAAGGGAGGGUCAGCUUCAAGGCAGGAGCACAUACUAGUAAGAAUGUACUUGAUUAUGUACAUUCGGAUGCGUGGGGCCCGAUCAAGCAUACAUCAAUGGGUGGAGCCCAUUAUUUUGUUAGCUUUAUAGAUGACUACUCCAGAAAGGUGCGAGUGUAUUUUAUGAAGCAGAAAUCUGAGGUUUUCAGAACCUUUAAGCAGUGGAAAGCUAAAGUAGGAAACCAGACCGGAAAGAAGUUGAAGUAUUUCAGAUCAGAUAAUGGCAAGGACAGAUCAUUCCUACAGUUCUGCCAGGUAGAAGGUAUCACCAGGCACUUCUCAGUCAAAAGAACUCCAGAGCAAAAUGGGGUUACCGAGAAGAUGAACAGAACUCUAUUGGAACGUGUCAGAUGUUUGAGGUUGAAUGCAGGAUUGCCCAAGAGUUUUUGGGCUGAGGUAAUCAACACAACCAGUUAUCUAUCUGAUAAAUCGAUCUCCUUCAGCUGGGAUUGAUUACAAAAUCCCCGAAGAGGUACGGAGUGGAAAACCAAUUAAUUUUUCUAUGAUGAGAAUCUUUGGUUGUCCGGCUUAUGUUCAUCUGCUAGUCGAAGAGUGACAGUCCAAACUUGAUCCAAGGUCAAAAGAGUGUAUUUUCCUUGGAUACGAAGAUGGAGUCAAGGGAUACAGGUUUUGGGAUCCAGUAUCCAAGAAGAAGGUUGUCAGCAAAGAUGUGGUGUUCAAUGAGAAACACAUGCUGAACAAGUCCGAGAGGGAAGAAUCUGCAGCAGGUGGUGAGUUGCAAAACACCCAGUUGUGGUGGAGCUUCCUGAAGAGAUUGAAGAUGAUCAUCAUUCAGAUUCCCAAGAGAGGUCCUAUAAUCUUAUUAGAGAUCGAGAAAGGCGAGUCAGCAAACCAGUGCAGAGAUAUGGGUUUGAAGACAUGAUUGCCUUUGCCUUGAUUGCUAGUAGUGGAGAUCCAACUAGCUAUCAUGAUGUUAUUUAGUCCGAGGAUAAUGAUAAAUGGGCGAUAGCGAUGGCAGAAGAGAUGGAGUCUUUACAGAAGAACCAGACUUGGGAGUUAGUUCAACUUCUAAAAGGAUCGAAGGCUAUAGGAAGUAAGUGGGUGUUCAGGAAAAAUGAAGCUUAGUCUGAUAAAGAAGGUGAAAGAUUCAAGGCCAGGUUAGUCCGAGAGGGAAUCAACUAUAAUGAGAUCUUCUCACCAGUUGUGAAACACACGUCGAUUCAGUUGAUCUUAUCUAUUGUAGCAUCACAUGAUAUGUAAUUAGAACAACUUGAUGUGAAAACAACUUUUCUCCAUGGUGAUUUAGAAGAAAAGAUCUACAUGAAGCAGACUGAGGGGUUUAUUGAACCAGGGAAAGAGGGCUUAGUUUGCAGUUUGAAGAAGUCUCUCUAUGGUUUAAAGCAGUCCCCAAGACAGUGGUACAUGAAGUUUGACAACUUCAUGGUGGCUCAUGGUUACUCUCGUUCGGAGUAUGAUCCAUGUGUGUAUUUCAGAUCCCUUGAUGAUGGCUCUCUAGUAGUGUUGACGUUAUAUGUCGAUGACAUGUUGAUAGCAGCAAAGAGGAACUCAUAUAUUCUUCAGCUGAAGAAUUUGCUGAGCAGUGAAUUUGACAUGAAGGAUCUUGGGUCAGCCAAGAAGAUCUUAGGUAUGAAAAUUCAUAGGGAUCGUCAGGCAAAAAAGUUGUGGCUAACUCAAAAAGGAUAUGUACAGAAGGUCUUGGAGAGGUUUAACAUGAACAAUGCUAAACCAGUUAGCACUCCGUUGGCAGCACAUUUCAGGUUAUCUUCACAGUUAAGCCCACAGACAGAGGAUGAGGUGGAGUAUAUGUCCAAAGUACUGUAUGCAAAUGCGGUGGGUUGUCUAAUGUACGUCAUGGUAUGUACAAGGCCAAAUAUAUCACAAGCAGUCGGUGUGGUUAGCAGAUAUAUGGCAAAUCCAGGAAAAGAGCAUUGGAAUGUUGUGAAAUGGAUUUUUCGUUAUCUAGCAGGUACAACCAAUUCCGGUCUUAUGUUUGAUCGUGAUACUGCAAAAAAUGAGGUUACAUGGUUUGUUGAUUCGGAUUAUGCUGGAGACCUAGAUGCAAGGAGAUCUACGACAGGGUUUGUAUACACCUUUAGUGGAGGAUAUAUAUGUUGGAGGUCAGUGUUGCAGUUUACGGUAGCAUUAUCAACAACAUAGGCUGAGUAUAUGGCAUUAAAAGAGGCAAGCAAGGAGACUUUGUGGCUUAAGGGACUAGUUGAAGAACUAGGUUUCAAGCAAGGCAGUAUCCAGAUUCAGUGUGAUAGUCAAAGUGCUAUUCAUUUAGCAAAGAACUAGGUGUUCCAUGCCAGAACCAAACAUAUAGAUGUUCGGUAUCACAAGAUUCAUGAGUGGCUGAACAAUGGUGACAUUGCAGUUCGCAAAGUUCACACAAAGGAGAAUGCCGCAGAUAUGCUUACAAAGUCGGUUACAACAUAAAAGUUCAAGCACUGCUUGGACUUAAUUCACUUCGUCCAAUGCUGAGUUCGUGGUGGAGUAUCCAGGGAGAGGGAUACAUUCACGGAUACAAAGAAGUUCACAGUAUUUGACAAAUGCAAGCCAAGGUGGAGAUUGUUGGAAAAAGUCAUUGCCUUCCAUUUAGUCUUAAGUCGUUUCCUUCCAUUUGGUCUUAAGUCCGGACUUGUGAUUUUUCCAAAGUCCCAGCCCUUUGAUGUUGGCCUUCCCCAUUUCUUGUUAUCCUCUCUAGAUUUCUCCUAUAAAAGGGAGCUUGGGCUCCUCAUUUCAACACACCACAACAACAAGAAGCUUAGCAAAGCAAAGAGAGUUAGAGAGUGAGAAGCUUAGUUAGAGCAUUCGGAGAGUGAGGGUGUAGAGAGAAAUAAACAGUUGGUUUAUUUCUUAUUUGGGAGUUUGUAAUCUCCAUAUUAUUUUCAUAGUGAAUUUCUGAGAUCUCUCUCUGUGGUUUUUUCCAGUUGGGUUUCCACGUAAAUUUCUAGUGUUAUUAUUUUAUAUCUCUUACAGUAGUGUGUUUGUAUUUAUCUUAGUGUAUUUGUGUGCCUGAUUUCUCAACAUAAUCGCUCUAUUGUCUCUGUAAUCAAAGAGCAAUACUAAUAUAUAGGCGAAGGAGGGGGUGUUCGGUAAUUAUUUUAGAAGCAAUAAUAUGAUUUGAAGUAACAAAUUAAGUUCAAAUAAGUUGUUUGAUUGGAAUAACAUAUAACUUAAAAUUAUUUUAUCAAGAUUAUUAAAAAAGAAGACAAAAAAAUCUUUUUAUAUUUGGUCAAACUUAAUUAUUUUAAGAGUCAUAGUCACAUCUCCCAUAGGGACUAAAACACCUAGUUAAACUAAAAAACCCAAUUACCUAACCUAUUACAUUUGGCCUCACAACCCGAAGCUAGGUAAAUGAAAGAACACAAACAAAUGGAUAUAUAUAUAUAUAUAUAUAAUAAUUAUUUUAAUUUUAUUAAUUUUAUCAUGUAUGAGUUCAGAUAUGAUUCAUUUUCAUGUAUUUAUUAUCGUAAAUAUAGUUAAAUUAAACUUUUUUAAAUUAAAAAAUUCAAUAAAUAUUAAUUCUCGCGAUGAUUUAAAUUCUCCGCGUGGGUUUAAAUUCCGUUAUGAAAUGAGAUGAAUUCUCAUCAUUUUAUAAGUAACCAAAUUAAGAAAAAGAAGAAUAGAGUUCCAAAAAAUUUAAAAUGGCUGAGCAAAAAUUAUUUCUGACAACUCUUGAUUAUGACUUGAAACUACUAAAUGUAACUUGUGAAACCUUGCAAUAUACUCAAAUAUUGAAACUUUUUGAUGAACUCAACUAAAUCUAAAUUUGACAAUCUCAGUUGGAUUCCACCCUUCACUAACAAGAUUUUCAUUCAUUAUUUCUGAUAUAGUAUCAAUCGUGCGACAUAUUGACGUAAAAUCAACUUCUAUAUUCUGAACCAUUUCUUAUUGAAAGAAGAUAGAAAUGAAGAAUGAUAGAUUGAGAAAAAUUGUAUUACCUCAAUGAAACAUGUUGAGGUCUUUUGCACCUGAAUGGUCGGGUAAUUGCGAUGAUUACUUGAGUCUAGUUGAGUUUGCUUAUAACAACAGGUAACAUGCAAGUAUUGAAAUGACUCCUUUUGAGGCGUUAUAUGGUAGGAAGUGUCAGGCAUCGACUUGUUGGGAUGAAGUUUGUGAGAAGGCCAUAGAAGGGUUUGAGUUAGUUCAAAUCACUACGGAGAAGGUAGCAGUGGCUUAGGAGAAAUUGAGGUCGGCUUGAUCACGACAGAAGAGUUAUACUAAUAAGCAUAGAAGGACUUUAGAGUUUGAAACUGGUGAGUAUGUGUUUCUAAAAGUUAUUAUAUAUCCGUUGCAUGUGGUGAAAUAUUCGUUCGAUAAGAUUCGGGAGGAUUUUACUUGUGAGAAUCAAGUCGAGGCGAUUUUGGAUCGUCAAGAUCGAAUUAUGAGGAGACAAUUCCAUUUGUUAAGAUUUUGUGGAGGAAAACCAUUCGGAGCGGGAAUCUACUUGGGAAACGGAGGAGGCUAUUUGAGCGGAGUAUCCGUAUCACUUUGAAAAUUAUGUACGUUAUUUUUCUUUUGAUUCCGGGGACAAUCCUUUUUAAAUGGGAGGUGAUGUAAUACCCGGUAAGAAAAAUGAUAAUUAUAAUUAUAAUAAUAAAAUAAAAAUUAUGUUUUUAAUUGUAAGACCACAACUUUUUAUGAAUUAGAUUUAAUUUUUUCUAAAUAGUAAGUUGUUUGAUUUAAUAAAUGUUAUAGUCAUGGGAGAUAUGUGAAAAUUAUAUGAAGUGAACAGUUUGUCAAGAAUAUUCGUUUCGUUGAGGAAUAUUCCUUUUAUCGGGGAAUAUUCGUACAACAAUGCCGAAAUAACCAAUCAUUGGUGGGCUACACAACGGAAUAACUGUCAGAUAGGGAAAGCGACAGAAGUAACUUUUUUAAAAAUUGACGGCAAAACUUUACCGUUAACUGUUAAAAUACCCAUUGAUAAAAGUACAGUAACACACGGUACUCCAUAGUAUCACACGAUAUUGCACAGUAUUUCUGAUUAUUGAUUCAAUAAUUGUUACAAUAGUAAUUGUAUAGUAUUUUAUAUUAUUGACUCCAUAAUUACUACAAUGAUAAUUGCAAAGUAUUUCAUAUUAUAAAUUCAAUAAUUGUCACAGUAACAACUGCAUAGUAUUCAAUAUCAUUAAGUCAAUAAUUUCACAACAUAAUUACUCAUAUUAUUUGAAAGGAUAUUAUUAGUUAACACUAUUGCCAAUAUCUAGAAGUUCUGUUGAGGAAAUGGGUUAGGUUAUAUAAUUGCGCGCCAAUAAGGAGAAAUCAUUAUCGGAAAACCCUCUCUUUCAUGGGAAUGAUCUGGUUGUCAGUAUUGUGAAUCUAUAAUAUUAAUGAUGAAUAAUUAUUGAAGGAAAAAAGUGUUAAUUAAUUAUGUGAUGCGUAGAAUAACCAUUAGAAGGAAGUUGUCAACAUUCGAAGGAAAUAAUGGUGAUAUAUGGCGUUUUGUAAGUUUGUCUUGUCCGCGGGACCCACAAUUUUAUUUCCUCCGUGAAUUUAUUUCUUUUGUGAGAUCCACAGAUCAUCCAAGUGCCAUUGUCUCUUCACAUUGCUACGAAAUCAUUUUUGCUAAGAGUCACUUUCGCCAAUAAUACUUGCCCCUUCGCAAAUAACCAGUUGUCUCUUCACAUUGCCAAGGGUCAAGCCAUUUGUCUUUUCACAUUGCUAAUGGUCAAGCCAGUUGUCUCUUCACAUUACCAAGAGUCAAGUCACUUGCCUCUUCACAUUGCAAGGGCCAAGCUAGAGCUCGUCUAUAAAUAGCAUGAAUUCUUCAUAUUUUAGUUACAACUGAUAAGAGAAAGCUAUAGAGAGAAUAAGAGAGAAAGAAAAAGAGUAUUCGAGAAGCAAUCACACACCAACAAUACAAAGUUCUGCUACUACAAUAUUGCAGUGUCUAGUCUCUUAUUAAAAUAAGGGAUAUUAUUUCUUUCAUAUUCGUAAAGGAUAUUAUUUUCUUUCAAUACUCAUAAGAAAUAUCAUUUAUUUCAUACUCCAUGCUAUGGUAAGUUGUUAUUCGUUUCUACAAUUUUUUCGUUAAACGGUGAAAAUGUCUAAACUGUUGAAAACUUUCUUAAUAGUUUGCACUUCAUCUAAUAUCUUUUCAACUGAAUCUUCCUAUUGCGUUUUACACGUUAUAGUUGAAUUGAGAAUCUUAUGUAUUUCAUUCUUAAAUUUGAAUCUAUGUUUUGGUCGUCAUGUUGAUAAUUUGGACAUUCUUGGACUCUGGAUAAACUAAAUUAUAAAUCUUUAAUGUUUAUUAUUGAUCUUAUUGUUAUUAUUAUUUCUAUUCAUCCUGUAUAUCAUUGUCAUCAUCCUCAAAUUUAAAUUGUGAGGAAAAGUUAUCUUUGACCCGUAGUGCGAAGAUAGACUGUUGAUUGGUAUGAUUAUAACCAAGAAUUGUGUAUUGGUAUAAUAAUGACCUUUGGUGUUACAGAUAAAAGAUUGUGGUGAAAGGUUUUUUUGGCCAGUAGUGCAAAGUUGGAUUGUGCUUGGCAUGAUCAUAACCAUUGGUGAUACAAAUGAGUAUCUUUGACCUGUAGUGCAAAGAUAAACUGUUGAUUUACAUGAUUAUGAAUUGUUUAUUGGUGUUAUAUGUAUAUAAUAUUGAUGAUGGACUUUUAAAUCGUAGAAGAUAGUAGACAUGAUGCUCUACUUGACUCUUCUAAUGGAUUGCUUGUUCCGCUGCAGUUAUCGUUGAAAACUUAUAAUUUUCAAAUCUCUGAUUUAUCAUUGUUGAAGACUAUAGAUAAUUUAUUAUUUAUUAUCUUAGUCAUAAUAUUCUUUGUUGGGCUAUUUGAGCUCACCCUUUUCCUUUUUGUUCCAUUGUUCUCAGGAAAUGAGAGUGUGGUUGGGACUAGCUGAGGAAUGGAGUGAUGGUCUGAAACUGUAGAAGUAUCUAUAUACAUUAUAAGAUAAUGUGACAAUAAUUGUAUUGAGAAUUUAAUUUUAGUGUGAAUAUGUUCAUACUGGAUACAGUACAAUAUUUAUAUUGAAACUCACAGUAUUUGUGUUGUCGUAUUUUGCAUGACAGUUUAAUGGUUGUGAAUAAAAAAGUUUGUAUUUUGAUUUUGUAGUAUGUAUUUGGUGACUCAAAAUGAGUUGUGUGGACCUAUUUUAGGGGCAUACGUCACAGCUCGUAUCAGAACAUAGGGAUAUGAUCUCUGGUUGAGAUAUGAGAUUAGAACUAGGAGGGGAGAGACAAGUAAAAUUCUUCGCUAGUGUGUCCUACCUAAGCUUUUUCGUUAUUUAAUUAGUCGGUCGGGAUAUAGGGUAAGAUGUGUUAUUUCAGUUUGUUUAAAAUAAUCUUUGUUUUGUGAUCAUAUUUUAGAAUGACAUGUGAAAAUCAAGAGAUGAACUAUGAGACAAUUGUGGUUGAGAAUUAGGAAGCUACAAACAAACUCAGAAAUUCAUUAUGCUAACAACAUCAUGAAUGAUGAGUUUUUUCGAAACUUCAAGAAAUUUUUGCAGAAAUAGGCGAAAGAAACUAUUGCUCAUAAUACCGUUAGAAACGUAGGUAACUCAUGAAUGGUCACUAACAAGCAAUUCAAAAACUUAGGACCAUCUGAAUUUCUCAGAAAGGCAGACCCACUAAAGGCCAAUGUUCUAAAAGGCGCUAGGCGGGAGGGCGAGGGGGCCCUAGCGCCUAGGGGGCCUAAGCAGGGCCUGGGCGGGGCCUAGGCGGUGUUUUUUAUUUUAAGUCAAUUUUAAUAUUUUAUCUUACAUUUAUUUCAAACAAAAUAAUAAUAUAAAGCAAAACAAUCUAUAAUAAAGGUAAUAAAAUUUAAAAUUUCAAGAAUUUAAUUCAUUAUUAAAACUUAAGAAACUAAACAUAAAUUAAAGAAUUAUAAAAUUGAAUUAAACUAAAUAUUACAAAUGUAUCAUUAUUUAUAUAAUUUGAAGUUAAGUUCAAACAAUUACAAUAAUAAUAAAAUUAUCCAUUUUGACUUGAUAUUGUUCACUUCUUGUUGUGAUUUGAUAUGGUAUAACCUGUAUUAUGAAUAUGGUAAAUCAUUAGAAAAAUAAAGGGGGGCCUAGAGGCGCUUAGGCGGGGAGCCAAGGGGGGGCCUAGCGCCUUGGCGGGGCCUAGGCGGACCUAGACAGGGAUUUUUAGAACAGUGCUAAAGGCGGAGACGUGACUUAAAUACAUGAAAGAUAUUUGAUGUACUGCGUUGCGCUGAUGAUCAAAAGGUUCACUUUGCUACCUUCAUGUUACGAGGAGAGGCAGACCACUAGUGGGAAUCAGUGAAGCGUACACAUCAUUCAACACCUGAAAUGUCUUGGAUAGAGUUUCAAGAGCUAUUUAAUGAAAAGUAUUUUUCGAAGAGCAUUCAUCAUAUGAAAGAAGUAAAAUUUAUUAAGUUGGAACAUAAUAAUAUGACCGUCUCUCAAUACGAGGCCAAAUUUGACGAGUUAUCCUGAUUUGCGCGUCACUUGGUAGAUAAUGAAGAACGCAUGACCCGAAUGUUCUUACGAGGUUUGAAAUUUAAGAUUCGUCAACAUCUUAUUUCUCAUAAACUUCGUUUAUAUUCAGAUAUCGUGGAUAGGGCUCAAUUGGUGGAAUUAGAGAAAGAGACAUUGUAACCAAGAGACAACAACCGCUAACACGAUAAUAAUCGUACCAGUGGCAACAAUUAUCGAAACAAUGAGAACCGGUGUGGAGGAAAUCAUCAUGCCGGAAAUAAUAACCACUUCGGUGGUAAUCCUGGCCCAGAUAAUAGAAAAGGUGACUCGAGUAGAAAAAACUCAAAGAGGAGAAGAUUCAACAAUGACUAACAAUAACACGAGCAAACUCCAAAGCAUACAAUGAAGUGUGUUAUCAAAACUCAAAACAAAACAAUUGAAAAAUUCCUUCAAUCUGUUGUUCAGGUCCCAACAAAACUCAUGCAACUACAAAAUUUAUUGCUAAUUGUUUGUUUAUUUGGUUAACUCCUCAUAACAGUAGGUGCCUUUAUACAUUCUAAACAAUAUAGCAAUGAAUAAUUUUUCAUUUGAGGGCUUAAAAAAAUUAGGAUUUCUUAAACUACAAAAACAAUUAACACCUGACAUUUAAAUUGAAGGUAACAAUGGAGGAAGAAGAACACAAUAACUAGAGGCUAGGAACAGUCACCGCGGCGCACCACUAAUCUGUAGUAGAUAUGAAAAUCUUAGGGUUUAUCUAUGGAGAAAAAUUGGGAGUUUAAAGCUAAAUUAAAGCAUAAAAAUAGAUGAAAAGAGGAGAUGAGAAGAUAUAAUUAAGGCUUAAAUGACUAUCGGAGGUUGAGGAGAUGAACAGUUGCCGCCGCUGAGAGUGCUGAGAAAAGAGGAAGGAAAGAAUGAAAAGAAUAGGGUUGUUGGUUCGCUCAAUUAAAAGAAAGUUUUAUUUUUGAUGAAAUUCCAUCAGAAUUCAUUCUGUCGAUUUUAAUUUAUUUUCAACUGACUUUUUUUGUCUACCUUAACAUAAAUUCUGUCGAAUUUAGUACGCGUGCUGGCGGGAUCACUUCGUUCCAAAGACUGUGCCUAAUUUCGAAGAAAUUCCAUCGAGCAUAGCCUAAAUCCGAUAGAAUUAGGUUCGACGGAGUAUACUAAUUCCGAGGGAAUAAAUUUCGUCGGACAUAAUUCCGUCGGAAUUAGUCUUUUUCUUGUAGUGUAAGCAUCUCAUGACUUUGAAAAUUGUAUUAGACAAAUUUAGCGACUAUUGUGCGAGUAUUAUUUAUAACUAUGGUGUAUGUUGACCUGAAUACAUCUGUGACGUUUCCAAAAUAGGUAUACACAACCCAUUCUGAGUCGCCAAAUACAUGGUACAUAAUUCAAAUACAAACUUAAUUAUACAACAGUCGUGUAAAAUACAACAAAAUAUAAGCUGAGAGUUUUAACACGAAUAUUGUCUCGUAGACAAUAUUCAAACUCAAAUGGAGUCCUCAUUACAAUUAUUAUCACACUAUUUUUUAAAAUAGUGAUGACUUCUACAGCCACCAUCUCGGACCGUCACUCCAAUUCCCGACUAGUCCCAGCUAUGUUCUCAUUUCCUGAAGAGAACAAUGAAAGUAAAGGGUGAGCUCAACUAGCCCAGUAAAGAAUAUUAUGACUAAGAUAAUGUAGAAUAAAUUAUCGUUAGCCUUCAACUGUGUAAAACUGAUAGAAUAUAAUAGACAAGUUUAACGACUUUAACCAUUUAAAACAUAUAAUCACAGAAUUAAAUUAUGCAAAUUGUACUGUUCUUGAUGUUCUUGAAGAUUUUGAAUAAAAACAUAAAAUUUAACACUACGGAUUCGUUAUAACACCGAAUCCGUUCGUUUAGGGCUUGGUCUCUUCGUAUCAACAUGCAUAAUAAUAUAAGAGUGUAAAAUUUAGGGAUAAUAUACGAUCAAUACAUAAAAUAUCACGUAUAAAGCCAUAAGGCCAAAACCCAUACUCUGUAAUUUUGUAGAAAUAAUAUACGACAUGUUUUCAUGAAUUUGAUGAUAUGGUUUACAUAAUAUAUAUAAUUAAACACGAUUUGAUAACAUCGAAACCCAUAUAUUCACAUAAGCCUUACAAAUUCCCAUCAUAAAGACUUUACAGUACUUGAAAACCAUUUGUAUAAAAACUUAAAUACGUAAAAGUAGAAAUUGGGUUUGGAGAAUUACCCAGAGCGUAGAGUGUAAUGUUAAACAAUGAAUUGAAACUCUUCUCAAACUUUUCUUCAAUCACACACUCAAAAUUCUUAAUUUUUCUCUCUGAAUUCUCUCUGUUAUAGUUUAUAGACUUAGCAAAUAUAAUAAAAGGAGAAUACGUAGAAUAUCAACUGAGCCUUUAUGCGCAGAGUUGAGGUCAGUUGCUCCAUACGUGGUUUAACUGCCCUCAACUCCCCUUAAGGCCUCAUUUGGCUAGCCUUAAAGGCUUAUACCCGAUUAAUUUAAUAAACUCAUUUAUCAUAUAGUUUAAAUCAUGUCACACCCACUUGCACAAUAAAUCAAAUAUCUUAUUUAAAUAUAAUAAUUUCACAGUCACAUUAUUAAUUUUCUCAUUAAUAAAUAGUGUCAAAUUAUUAAUUCUCUAAUUAAUAAUUAAAUUAAUUAAAAUAACAUCAUGCUUAAUUAAAUAAUUCAUUUAAUUCAAUAAGCUCACAUAAUUACAUGCUUUGAAUAAUAAUUAUUCUCUACAUUAAUUUAAUAAAUGUAACACAUAUAAUUAAAUUAAUCUACCACAAUUGCAUCAAUUAAUUAUUUAAUCUAAUAAUUAAAUCAUCGAAAAAUAUUUAUUUAAUUCAAUAAAUAUUAAAAUUAAAUUACAAAAAUCUCGUUCGUCACAUGGUACAUAUGCAAAGUACUACAUCCCAAAAGAGUUGGGAAUUCUCAUUAGGAACAAUGAAGAUAAACAGUACAUGUUUUGAAUAGCAACAACAAGAGUUAGGAUUAUGAAACUCGCUCAUUGUAAAGGAUUAGAAUACAAGAGUUUGUAUUAACAUAAACAAGAUGGAGUCAAUAAGCUCGUUCAACUAUAAUAUAGGAUUUGCAUCAUGAUAAUUUUAGGAUUAGAAAGCUUGCUUGACGAUCAAAAGAUAACGUAGUUAUGAAACUUGCAUUCAUUAUAAAAAAAAUGAAGUUAAGGAACUUGCCUCGUGUGUAAGCUACACAAGUAUAAUAACGUUCGCCAAUUCCCCUACACAUACCAUUGAAAUCGCAAUACCAAUUAGUUGUAUCAUCAUUAGCUUUAUAGGUUCAACCCACCAUUUAAGUCAUAACCUUUAACUUAAUGUCUAAUCAUGUUGGUUAACCACCCUUACGAAUCUGAAAUAUCACUAUCGCAUAACAUAAGCUUUAUCAUUCACUUCCAACUCUUGUAAACAUCAACUUUAUUCAUUACAUAACUUGUUCAAGUGAUCAUUUAAAAUCUUCACUUUUUGGUAUCACCACACAUAAUCAUCUGUUAUUGUAUCUUAUAUUAUGAUUUAACAUCUUUAUCAUGCAUACCAUACUAGAUUAGGUCGUAGUAUUAUAGUCUACAAUUAAUCAGAACUCACUGCCACUGAACAGGGCACGACGCAGCUGCGCUGCCCCAAGCCUUGGCACCGGCGCAACUGUGCUGGUGCAGGAUCUCUGAAGACCAACAGGCGCAACUGCGCCAUUUCUGCCUGUGGUACCGGCGCAGCUGCGCCAGUACGCAGACAGAAACUGCAACAACUUCAGCCAUGUUUUGCACCAACACUCCAAUUUUUUCAAUUUCCACAGAAAUUCACAAAACCCAACAACUAGAAUUUUGUAAUAACAUCAACAAGCAUGCAUUUCAUGAUUCUAUCAAUAUAACAUUAUACAUAAUUAACUUUUUAGGAUAAAAAUCAUAUAUUUUUUCCAAUUUCUUCAUAUUUUAACACUUUUAGCGAAUUUGAUUGCCAAAUCUUUGUUUCUUAACCAAUUGACACCAUUCAAACUACGUUGUUUUCGUUUCUGGAUAUACUAACACAAUAUACGAUCAAUUUGCAGAUUCUAUCAAGUAUUAGACAUCAAAUUUUGGACUUAAGCCAUUUUCACACAUUUAUACACUGUUUUUAAAGUCUUCUACUACAAAACCCAAUUUUCAUAAAUUUGAUACUCUAAAACCAAAUGAAAGUAACGUAUAUCAGAUUUUAAACCAUCUUCAACACAAAUAACAAUUAUUUCAACAAAUCAUCAACCAAUUCUUUCCCCUUUUCCCAAAAACUCAAGAACACAAACAUGAUUUUCAUGAAUUCCCUUACUAAAACCAUUUAUAGAUGAUAACCAAUUGAUUAUAUCAACUAAUUAACAAUUAUAAUUCAAAUUCACACAACUCUAUAUUAGAAAUUAAGAACAUAAAUUUAGGUUUUUUAUACCUUCAAUACUUGAUUUCUUUGCAAGAUGAUCACAUAGCUUUUGCAAUCCUUCUCCUUCUUGAUAAAAUCACAAAGAAUGAAUUCUCUCCUCUCAACUUCACUGUGUUCUCUCUCUUCUUCACCACUCUCUGUGUUUUUUUUCUUCUCUUUUCUUAGUUAGCCUUAAGAAUUAUGCGCGUAAUAUAAACUGGCCUCCGUCUCCCCCACAUACUUCAGGUGAGAACCAAAAAGUUUACGUCAGUUAAAUAAGGCCAAAGGCCACAAGGCCUUGUUUUGCUACCCAAACUUCCCAUUCUAGUUUAUUUUAAUAAUAUUUAUAUUAUAUGGUUUCAUGUGUCACACUUUUAAUUUAAUUAAUUUUUAUACUUAUCAUUACACUUAUAAUAAUUAUAAUUUUCAUUAUAAUUAUACUUACGCUUAAUAAAUUAUUAUAUGUUUAAUUUAAUUAUUAAAUUAAACCAGAACACCACUUUAUUUAAUUUAAUUAUUUUCUUAAAUAUUAAUUUAAUUAUUCCAUUAAAUUAAAUCUUCAAAUAAUAAAAUUUCCAUUAAUCAAUUUAGUUACUAAAUUAUUGCACCACAAUAAUUUAAUGAAAAUUAUAAAAUCAAUUUCCUCAAUUAUUUAUUUUUCUCAAUUAAUAAAUUAUUUAAAAUAUUUAUUUAAUUACAAAAUUUCUCGAUCGUUACAGGUAUGAACAUGAAUUUAAUUAAAUUACAUGAAUAGUGACUUAAAUCUAAGUUAUUUAUUUAAGUAACUUAAAUACUGGCUAUGAGAGCUAGGUGAAAUGUUUUAAUUAAUGAAGCAUGAGACUUAAUUAUUUUAUCAUGUAAUAAAGUUUAAGAUUAUUUUACAAGGUUACAUGAUUUAUUAAACGAUGUGACCACUCGAUUUUUUCGGGAAUUAUUUUAAUAAGAAUUUAAUAAAUAAAAUUCGUAUUAUGAGACGAAGGAGGUUUGAAUAUGUAUGUAUAUAUGUGUUAUAUAUAUAUUGGUAUCGAGCCAAUGAAUUAAAUUAAUAUCAAAUGAGGGUUAAGUAUAGUAAAUAAAUAUAUUUAUUGUGUGAAUAAAUUGUUUAGAAAACAAUUUAAGGAAUGAAUUUUUUUAAAUUUAAUUAUACAAUAUUAAUUAUAUAAAUUUAUUUAAAAUAAUUAAUGAAUCAAAUAUUAAUUAUGUGAUGUAAUGGUUCGUUACACUAAAAGUAAUAAUUUUAUUAUGGAUUAAUUCCAUAAUUGGUGGGAUGAUUUUAUACAUAAUUAUAAGUGUAUAAAUUACCAAAUUAUGUAUUUUUUUAUAUAAUACGUUUAACGUUAUAAUGAGGUAUGUGUAAGUGUGUAAGUAUUGAUAUACUGAAGUUUGGUUAGUAUGAUGAAUGAGUAAGCUUUUAAGCCUAAGAGAGAUUUUUGCUAGGGGGCAACUAGGAGGCAUAGGGGGCAGCUAGGAGCUUACAUGAUAGGUCACGUAGGGGCUGCCUAGAGGCCAAUUGAUAGGGGCCAAAGAUGAUGGAUAGGGCUGUGUAGGGGGAGUCCUAUAGGGGUCAAUAGCAGAGAGAGAUAGGAGCUAAGAGUUUAUUCUACCUCAUUCUCAUCUUCUCCACAUCUGUUCCUUCUUCCUCUCUCAUUACCUAGACCAUAUUUCUCUCCAAUUGCUAAGUUUCUAUGCUUCCAUAGCUACAAAACCACAAAAGUUCAUCCAAUUCUCAAAAACGUGAAGUAGCAAACUGUUUUGGGAAGGGAUUUCGAGCAGCAACAGUAAAGGAAGAGUUCAUAAACUAAUUUCUAAAGCUAAAACUUCUUCAAAUCAAGGUUAUUGCAAGGUAUGUUAUAUGUUUAUAAUUAUGUUCAUAAAAAUUUAGCUGAAUGAGGCUUUAUGUUGCAAUAACUGUUAUGUUGGGCUGAUAUUUAGUAAGAAGGGAAUUAGUUAUUGUUGUGUGGAGUAAUAAGGGAGAUUUUUUUUGGGUUUAAGCAUGUAUAAACAUGUUUGAAUUCUGUCCCUUAAGCUAAUGCACUUGUUGUGUUCGAUAAAUUGUUUCUUAGAGACUAAUAAGCUCAAAUUGGACAACUAUGGGACUGUUUUGGACCAAUUUAUGUUGUGCUCUGAAACUGAAAUAUUAAGUUCCGGGAUGAUGUGUGGUACUAUUAUGAGUUAUGAACACAACCCAAUUGGAACGAGGGAAAAAUCCGUUGUAACGAAAUCAUGACGGAUUUCCUAGUAAACAUGUAAAACGAACUAAUUAAAACUGUUUUUGGGGGCUGUUCUUCAGCCAAAAUUUAUGAGGGUAUAGAACUAAAAAAUUAAGUUUUGUAAUGGUGGGUUGUGCUCCUACGAGUUAUGGAAAUAAUCCAAUUGGAAUGAAUCAAAAAGGAGCUAAAACGAAUUUAUAGUGAAGAUUUUAGUAAAACAUGUUAGAAACCGAAAAAUUGUGGACUGCUGACCCUAAGGACAAAUUCGGGGCUAGCAACAUUUUCCAGAAAAUUCUGGGCUUUUGGGAUAUUAUAGUACACUGAAUAAGCUUUCCAUAGACUCUGGAAUGAACUAAUUCCGACUUCGGUGCAACGAGUUAUGACCGUUCAAAGCAGUGGCGUUAAAUCUGUCUAACAAAUUGGGAGCAGUCCUCUUGCAUGAAUUUUCUAGAAUUGUGAAAGAAUUUGAAAAUGGUCAAAGAAUAAAAGUUGUAGCCCCGGAAGUUAGCUUCGUGUGGGCUCAAAAAUCGCUCAAAAAUGUUUUGAAACGAAAAUGUUAUGACUGUUUUAGCGAGAGAGGGUACAACUGGGAAGAAAUUGAAAACUGUUAUGCACGUACACUUUUGACGCUCGGUUUGGGCUGUCUAACAAACCCAGAAUGGGGGUUUGAUAUUUUUUAAAAAUAUUCUCGUAUGAUACGAAAAACAUACCAAAAAUUGGUUGAUAUCCGAGCUACAAGCAAGAAGAUAAAAAUGUGCAAAGUAUGCUUCAAGCAAUUGAGUAGCAGCAGGGCACUGCCCAGCCACGCGCGUGCGCACGCAGCGCCGUGCUGCGCUGGUACAGUCGCCUGGCAUGCUCUUCACGUGCUGUUUUGGUCAAUCUUAGUCGCUUGUUUUCAUAGUUAUAAAAUUUCUAAAAAUACUUUGAUAUACCGACUAAAACAUAUCCAAAACUCGCAGCAAGUUGAUUAGAGAUUUAAGAAAUAAAAAUUAGAAAAUGAGAGUGUCAAGCCAUGGGCUGCCCAGCCCAGGCGGCCAACGCCGAGCCUGGCAGCCUUGGGCUACUUUGCUUAUCGUGUUCCCGCGACGUGUUUGGUUGGUUUUAGAGCUAUUUGGCACAUAAUGAAACACCGGUAUAGUAGUAUAAAUAUAGUAUAAAGACUAUAUAUGGCGCAAACUUAUUCGUGCGCAAGAAAAGCGAUAAAAGUGUUAUGUAAACAUGAAAGUACACAUAUGUGAUCAACCUGAAUUGAGAAAUGAAAUAUAAAAGGGUUAUGUAUUAAAAUUAAACACUCCCAUUUAAACUAUAUUGAACAUCGAAAUUUGAAAGCGAAAGGUUUUAGAAAUUUGAAACGAAGACUAUGAACACAGAAUCACAUAAUGACUAUGUAUGAAAAUAAAAUACAUGUGAAGCACGAAUGUAAUUUAUUCACGAGAAUAAAAGUUAAACGAAGCUACUAACAAAGCGAGACAUUCGCGUACAUGGUGAUAGCAUGGUUUAGCACAUGGGCUAUUGUGAAAACAGAAAAUUUUUCGAAAAAUAAAGAAUAAUGAUAUGAGCUAUGUUUACACGAUAAAAACCAUCCAUAACCAUAUAGUCUCAAGUUUACAUAUGGAGACACGAAAUAUUCUUAAAAUGGAUUAUAGAUGGUUUAUGCUCUCAAACGUAAAGUAUUUAUAUACUAAAACCAUGAGAGAACCUUUUUGUGCAUAAAAAGGGUUAUAACAGACAAAAGUUUCUAAAGAAACGUGGAAUGGUUUUAAGACGAACAAAAAAAAGAUUAUACUUAAUGUAAAAUAAAAAUUAGUUUACAUUUAGUAUGUGAAUUUAGUAUGUGAAUAUAUACUCAAUUUCUGUAGGAUCAUCACCGAGCAGAAAAGUUAUAACAUUAAACAUCACUCAAGGCAAGUUUCUCAGUUUAUUUAUGUGGACUUAUAAUUGCUAUAGAUAACUGUUAGCAUGACUUAUGUUUAUAAGUAUGUAAUAUCUAUGAACUGCAUUAUUUGCUUUGUGAAUGAUGAAUGUCAAAUUAUGACUAAUUAUUGAAUUGAGUCGGGGAACUCAAUAUAUAUGUGCAAUGAAUGACAGGUACAGGACAUGUGUAGUAUGUUAUGGUAUGUAUGUUGCUACCAACAUGACAUAAAUGUGAUAAUGCAUUUGUAAUAUGCUUGAACACCAAGAAUAUAAAUGCAUGAACUGAAUGUGAAACCUAUGUGCUACGUGAUGCAUGAUAGACUGUUAGACUUGCUGGGCCGUCGUGCUCAAUCUUUGCUUAAUUUGCAGGUUAAAGAUAUGAUGCGAUCUAUCGUGAUUAGGAGCGCAUUAAAAGAAGACUAGUGAUUUAAUUGAGAUUGUGUUGAAUCAUUUGAUGGUAUUUUCAUGUGUAAAUCACAGAUGUGUAAAUUUUUGAAUUAUUCGAUAGAUGAAGAUUAUUUGUUCUAAAAAGGGGAAGAAUGAAUUGUAUAUAUAUUCAUAUCUACUCAGGCUAAAUAAGUCAUAUAAUAAAUAUGAUUUCAGUAUAAAGAAGAAUCAUAAAGGUUGCGAUUCAGGGAAUGAAUGAAUAGUAGAAAAAAAAUUAUUUCGCAUUUUUAGCUAUUUUAACAUUGAAUAAUGUUUUAAAGAUAGAACAAGAUAGUAUUAACGCACAAGAUCAGGAAGGGAAAUAGUCCUGAUUUUGGGGUCGUUACAGUUGGUAUCAAAACUGUAGGUUUUAAACAUUAGGUAGGGGUACCUUAGGCUAUAACCGCAGAGAUGAAGAUAAGGAAUAAACUCGAAUAGAAUUUAAAGUGCUAAGAGAUGAAUUUGGGAAAUUCAUUAUUAAGUAAAGAAAAAGAUAAAUAAGAUUCAAAGAAGAAUAUUGAAAAGUUAUAAAGAUACAUAGUUACUUAACUCUGAUGAUGCAGAUGAAAAGUAAUAAUAAAUAGACAAGGUCUAUAAGAUGAAUAGUGUUAAUAAAAUCACGAUAUGAGAUGAUUAAAGAGAGGAGAUAAGAAGAUCGUAAAACAAAACGAUCAUAAGAUAGAAGAGAAUCGUAAUAUAACACGAUUAUAAGAUAAGAUUACGACGUGAUCAGAUUGAAUAGCAGAUAAUCUGUGAAAUGAUCGGAAUGAUAUAGCUUGACGCUAUAAAGAGAAUGCACUAUGAAAUUUUACAAUAUAAACUCAUGUAAGAGUGGUAAAUGUUCAGAUAUGGAUUAAAUGAAAUUUGUAUUGAGUAAAGAGGAAGCUAGGAUUAUGUGGUAUUUCAAUUGAGGACUCAUGUCAGCAGCUAAGUUGUAUGAUUCCUUGUAUGGAUGGGGAAUAUGUACUUGGUUUGAGAACCACUUAGCUUCCUAUAUUGAUAUAGUGGUUGAGUUGAACAAUUCCUUGUAUGGGCAGGGAUUUGUCCUUGGUGUAACAAUCGCUUAGCUUCCUAUAUUGAUUAGUGGCCGAGUUGACCAAUUCCUUGUAUGGAUAGGGGAUUGUGUUUGGUUCGACAACCACUUAGAUUCUUACAUUGAUAAUCAUUGGAACCUGGUGUCGCGCUAUUUGUUAUAUGCAUGUUGAGAAUGUAAUUAUUUUCUCAUGUGUAUAACAGAUAGGUAGAGAAUAUAAAGAUAGGUGUGAGUUCUUAAAACUCAAUACUUUGAUAAGUUUAUGACUCAUAAUCGUAUUAUAUGUUUUUGAAAUCUUAAGCGUAUGGACAGUUCCUGAUUGGUUCUUGAACUACGUAUUGCUAGGAUAAAUUCCUAAACCCAUAUUAUUAUGGAAAGUUUUUGAACUCAUAACGUGUGGUAAGUUUGAUAAACUAUAUUGGGGUAUAGAAAAGUUGUGAAUGGAGAAUUAAGGAUGAUAGAAAUAGAUAGAAUUAUUAAGCAAUGGAUCAUUAUAGAAAGUGAAGUUGAUGGUGGAAGCAUAGGUAUUCCAAAUCUUCUAGCUAUGCUAGACUUCGAAAUUUUUGACAUCAAGUUAAAUCCGCACUGAUGUGCCUUUAAAAAUGAUUUUUGUUAUCCUCAACACAUGGUGACAAGUGUGUAGGUGUGAACUUUGAGCCACUAACACAUCGUUACCUGUUGUGGCAUGAUAACACCAAAAAUGAUUUUCAAUGGUUUUGAAUUAUUUAGAGAAGAGUCUAUGCUAAUUGAUUAGGCUUGACAAAGUGAUUUGAAAUGUAUCAAAAUGUAUUUUUAUAUCAUUAAUGCAUCAUGUAACCUAGUGCAAAGAUGAUAAAUAUGAUGGAGUUAUCAAUGCAGAAUUACUUAGUGUUGGAUGUGAUCUAAGGAUCGUCAACCCACUAUGGUAUGAUGUAGUAUGACACAGUCACAAAAUGACGGAAUCCUCAAACGGACUGUAAAUACAGUGCGGUAUCACGGCGUCAUAAAAUGAUGUUAAUAAUUUUAAAGAUAAAUUAUUGUCAAUUGAAUUUGGUCAGACAUGUUUCGAUUGAUAUUCGAAUUAUUGGUAUGCAUCUAAGCUAUUUGAUUCAGCUAGACAAAUGUUUAUGAAAUUCAAAGGCCGAACCAAAUUGUUUUGGUACGGAAUCUUAUGAUAAGUAUGUGGUGAACAACCCUGAAAAGGGGAAUAUGUUGAUUGGAUAAUAUAAUCCAAUCUAGUAGCGUAAAUAUUCGCUAGACAUGAUUAAUACGUUAUGCAUGACGUAAGAGUAUGAUAGGCUAAUCACCUAAAGUACUAGCAGCGGUAGUUUACUUUCUUCGUGAUUGUAAACAUACCAAGUAAUUUAUUAUUUUGGCGGUGUGAAUACCGUUAAAACUAUGUGUUUAUGGUCUAUAUGACCCCUCAGCAUGAUAUGAAAAGUUUUCUUGAAUAAAACUUUUUACAUUAUUUAUACUGCUUCACAGUUAUUGAACAAUUGUGGAGACUCCUGAAUGAUUGGAAGAUGUAAACUCCUAGUGGGUAGUCAUGGUAGCAUGUGAUGCUAGAAUAGAUCCUCAUGGAAGGAGAUAGCAUGUCCUCGUUAAUCGAGAAUGAAAUCUGAUGUGAUUAAAUAAAGGUUAUUAUGACAACCUAGUUUUGAUGAAUAAAAGGAACAGUGAUUAAUAGGCUGUAAUUUCGGGGACGAAAUUCUUAGAAGAAGGAGUGAAUGUGACAACCCGAAAAUUUAGAAAAAAACUUAAAUUAUUAAAUUAAAGGUUAAAGUUUAAAACCUAGAGUGGAAAUAGAGGAUUUAUUUAAAAAUUUUAAGAAAAAUCUAUACGGUUUAAUAAUUGAAAGAGAUUAUGUAAUAAUAAAUAUGACAAGUCAUAUGAAGAAGGCUUAUUGAAUGUAGCAAGUCGUAUCAAGUGGUUUAGUAGACAUUAAAUUAAAUGUCUAGUCUAAUAUAUGAAUAUUGGUGUUAAAUUAGUAAAUUAAAUUAAUAUUUAAUUAAUUUAAUUGAAGACAUGAAAUAAAAUAUGUGUUUAAGGUUGAGGUGUGAUGAGAUAAUUAUAUACCUCACUGUGGGUGUAUUUUUAAUUAAAGAAUAAAAAGGAAAGGCCCUGUGAUUUAAUUACACGGGCGGUGAGUCGAGAUUAAUUAUUGAUUAACUAACCUAAUGAGCCUUUACAAGCUAGGGUGAAAUUGAUGAUUUUCAUUUAUCAGGGAUUAGGGAUUGGGGAGUGACUCAUCCCAUUCCUUUCUUCAUUCCAUUCCCUUCUCUAUUCUAUUCCUACCUUAAUUUCAUUCCUUAAUCCAAAUGUAGCAUUGCUAUAUAGAUUUAUGGGUUUAUUCCCUGCAUGAUUACGUUUUCUGAAAAUUCCACUGGAUUGUACUAGUUAGAGUUGAAUGUUCAUGGUGAUGUACUUUUCCGAAUUUUAUAGCAGCAACUUAGAAUGUCUGCUGAUAUUUUCGCUGGUUCUGCAAAUGUCUGCUGGAAUACCUCNNNNNNNNNNNNNNNNNNNNNNNNNNNNNNNNNNNNNNNNNNNNNNNNNNNNNNNNNNNNNNNNNNNNNNNNNNNNNNNNNNNNNNNNNNNNNNNNNNNNGGAAGUUAUACAGUGAUAAGUUGAGUCAUCAUUUUAAUUAUUUUAGUGUGACCUUGAAUUUCAGUAAGUUCUUACAGUGUAUGCCAUUUAAUUGUUUUUCCUUCUCAAAAGGCAGAUCGAAACAUUUGGUUUUGGUAAUAUUUUUAAUAGCAAUAGCAUUAUUAUAGUUUGCUUUUUAUAGUUUGCUAUUAAUAACAAUAGUUUACAAUGGAUAUCCAUGCUAACUUGAAAGCAAACUAUAAAAAGUACAUCAAAAUACACUUUCAAGGAAGUGGGUCAAUCGUGAAUAACAAGGAGUUAUAAUUAUAAAGAAUAUAAUACAGAUGCACCUACUAAAAAUUACUGUGCUAUUGAUGAGAAACCACCACUUUUACAUUUUGUCAAGUGCUCUUUCAACCACUUUUACAUUUUACAUUUUACAUUUUACAUUUUACAUUUUACAUUUUGAGCUCUACUUAUUGCUCUUGAUAGACAUAGGAUUUUAGAUAUAGUUGAAAUUCUAUUUUGUAACUUGUAACUUUGAUGAUUUCUUGUGUACAGUGCCCUUGAUUGCAUAUAUACCCAAUAGUAUCGGUUGUUGAUACCACAAUUGAUGGAAAUGAUGAACAAUAUGAAGAAAAUCACGAAGGAGGGUAAGAUGCAGUGCAAUGGGGACCUCAAGGCGUACAAUAUAUGAACAAUCUACGUGACCAAAUUGCUCGUGAACUAUAAAGGGACUCACUGAAAUUAAUGUAAUUUUAUUAUUAUGUUGACAUGUUUGUUUAAGUCGUUACAUUUCUUAUUUUCUAUGAAACUUGGGUUAAAAUUGAAUGAAUUAUUCAAUACUUUGUUUGAUAAUUUAUUUGAAUUAUUUAUUUUUAUUUGUUGUACAAUGAAUAUUGUAUUUAUUUUUUUAAAUACGUCCAGACAAAAUUAUAUACUUGUUUAACAUAGUUUAGAGGGGUAAAUAGUAAAAUACUUUUCAGAUAUUUCAGACAUCAAUUAUCAAACAACUUUUUUCAUUCAGAUUCAGAUUCAUUCAGUUUUUAUCAAAC